UAGGGAAUCUUCCGCAAUGGACGCAAGUCUGACGGAGCAACGCCGCGUGAGUGAAGAAGGAUUUCGGUUCGUAAAACUCUGUUGUUAGAGAAGAACAGCGCAUAGAGUAACUGUUAUGCGUGUGACGGUAUCUAACCAGAAAGCCACGGCUAACUACGUGCCAGCAGCCGCGGUAAUACGUAGGUGGCAAGCGUUGUCCGGAUUUAUUGGGCGUAAAGCGAGCGCAGGCGGUUAGAUAAGUCUGAAGUUAAAGGCAGUGGCUCAACCAUUGUAGGCUUUGGAAACUGUUUAACUUGAGUGCAGAAGGGGAGAGUGGAAUUCCAUGUGUAGCGGUGAAAUGCGUAGAUAUAUGGAGGAACACCGGUGGCGAAAGCGGCUCUCUGGUCUGUAACUGUCGCUGAGGCUCGAAAGCGUGGGGAGCGAACAGG
rnacentral:rRNA from 1 species